rnacentral:lncRNA from 1 species
UUUCUUUCUUCUUCUCUCUAUACGUUGGUGUUCUAACCCAUAAUCAUUCAAUCGCUAUUACGAUUCAUUUUCCGACCGAUCAAUAUAUCCAAUGGAUGUUUAAGUGCCGCCCAUAUUAGGGUGAUACUUUGUCGUUCGUCGUUAAUUCGAUGAAUGAGUUUAAGUAUCGCACUUUGUCGUUCGUUGUGAGAAUUUGAUCUCGUGAGUUAUCGUAAAAGCUGUAUUGAUCAUUAACCCGGUUUUUGUGAAAUUCGUUAAGGUUCGAAUCUCAUGACUACCGUUAAGGUUUGAUUUGGGUUUUACACCAAUACGUAUUCCAUUCUGUUAAACUAUAUAUUUAAUUACCAAGAAUACUCCCAACUACACCCUUACAAUCAAACAAACUAUUAAAUCAUCAGAAGAUCCAGAAUAAUAAAGUGCAUGCUUAAUUAUCGGAAGAAAUAGAAUCAAGAAGUUUGUUAACUCAAUCCUGCAUGCUGAUUUGUGGGCGAGCCUAAAUGUGACAUACGUCACUCAUUGGGACAGCCAAUGGUGAUAUGACCACAGUCACAGAGCUGGUAAUUACAGUAGACUGGAGUAAGGAUUGGAUCCGGCACUAAAAGACUUCAAGAAGUGGCUUAUUUUAUUAAUUAAAUCAAAUUAAGAAAUAUUGUUUUUAUUAAAAGCUACCUUUGUAAAACUUGGAAUUUAUUCCAUCCAUUUAAAUAAAAUCCGGUGUU